rnacentral:rRNA from 1 species
GAUGAACGCUGGCGGCGUGCUUAACACAUGCAAGUCGAACGGUGAAGCAGGAGCUUGCUCUUGUGGAUCAGUGGCGAACGGGUGAGUAACACGUGAGCAACCUGCCCCUGACUCUGGGAUAAGCGCUGGAAACGGCGUCUAAUACUGGAUAUGUGAUGUGACCGCAUGGUCUGCAUCUGGAAAGAAUUUCGGUUGGGGAUGGGCUCGCGGCCUAUCAGCUUGUUGGUGAGGUAAUGGCUCACCAAGGCGUCGACGGGUAGCCGGCCUGAGAGGGGGGCGGGCCACACUGGGACUGAGACACGGCCCAGACGCCUACGGGAGGCAGCAGUGGGGAAUAUUGCACAAUGGGCGGAAGCCUGAUGCAGCAACGCCGCGUGAGGGAUGACGGCCUUCGGGUUGUAAACCUCUUUUAGCAGGGAAGAAGCGAAAGUGACGGUACCUGCAGAAAAAGCACCGGCUAACUACGUGCCAGCAGCCGCCGUAA